AGGGAUGUCGCCAAGUGGUUAAGGCACGAGAUUUUGAUUCUUGCACCGUGGGUUCGAGUCCCGCCUUCCCUG
rnacentral:tRNA from 1 species